CGGAUUCUGGCUCAGGAUGAACGCUAGCGGCAGGCUUAACACAUGCAAGUCGAGGGGCAUCGGGAGUAGCAAUACUUGCCGGCGACCGGCGCAAGGGUGCGUAACGCGUGAGCAACAUGCCCGUAUCAGGGGGAUAAUCCAUGGAAACGUGGUCUAAUACCCCAUAGUAAUUAUGUAAGGCAUCUUAUAUAAUUUAAAGCUUUGGUGGAUACGGAUUGGCUCGCGUGACAUUAGCUAGAUGGUAAGGUAACGGCUUACCAUGGCUACGAUGUCUAGGGGUUCUGAGAGGAAGGUCCCCCCACACUGGAACUGAGACACGGUCCAGACUCCUACGGGAGGCAGCAGUGAGGAAUAUUGGACAAUGGAUGGAAAUCUGAUCCAGCCAUGCCGCGUGCAAGGAAGACGGCCCUAUGGGUUGUAAACUGCUUUUGUAUGGGAGCAAUAAGGGCUACGUGUAGUCCGAUGAGAGUACCAUACGAAUAAGCACCGGCUAACUCCGUGCCAGCAGCAGC
rnacentral:rRNA from 1 species